UACAGAGGUGGCAAGCGUUGUUCGGAAUUACUGGGCGUAAAGGGCGAGUAGGUGGCCAUCUAAGUCAGACGUGAAAUCCCCCGGCUUAACCUGGGAACUGCGUCUGAUACUGGACGGCUAGAGUAUGGGAGAGGGAUGCAGAAUUCCAGGUGUAGCGGUGAAAUGCGUAGAUAUCUGGAGGAGUACCGGUGGCGAAGGCGCAUCCUGGACCGGCAUUGACGCUGAGGAGCGAAAGCCAGGGGAGCAAACGGG
rnacentral:rRNA from 1 species